rnacentral:rRNA from 1 species
AUUGAACGCUGGCGGCAGGCCUAAAACAUGCAAGUCGAACGAGUGGCGGACGGGUGUGUAAUGUCUGGGAACCUGCCUGAUGGAGGGGGAUAACUACUGGAAACGGUAGCUAAUACCGCAUACCAUCGGAUGUGCCCAGAUGGGAUUAGCUAGUGGGUGGGGUAACGGCUCACCUAGGCGACGAUCCGUAGCUGGUCUGAGAGGAGGACCGGCCAGACUGGAACUGAGACAGGGUCCAGACGCCUAAGGGAGGCAGCAGUGGGGAAUAUUGCACAAUGGGCGCAAGCCUGAGACAGCCAUGCCACGUGUAUGAAGAAGGCCUUCGGGUUGUAAAGUACGUUCAGCGGGGAGGCGUUACCCGCAGAAGAAGCACCGGCUAACUACGUGCCAGCAGCCGCGGUAAUUC